CAAAUAACACUUCAGACCAGAACACACGACCGAGCCUCACAAAGAUGAUAUAGUGACCCUCGAAAAAAAAGUGUGUGAUGGCGUGUGAAAAGUGUGUAUGAAGGACAGAGGACGACCUCUCGCCCGUGACCUCACACUGCCUAAUACACCGCUGCCAGUAGAGACGACACCUGUAGCAGCUGUCAGUCGUUCGGCCGGCCGGGUUAUCACACCUGUUUCCUCCAGCUAGCGAUACAAGGUGAAAUAGAGAAACGAAAAGUGAAACGAUAGAAAAAAGGUUUAGAAAAAAAAGAAAUAGUAAAAAAAUAGAAACAAUAUACUCUUCAAAGUAUAUUUGUGAAAGUGUACAUCCUAUGGGGCAAAAGAGUGUCAUUCUUUGUGUGUUGAACAGUGUGAUUGCAGAGAUAUAUAGAGAUGUUUUCUCGGUGAUGUGUUGAUGUAUUGCAACAAAGUGCGUGCGUAAUUGCGAGAUUUAAAAGCAUCCU
rnacentral:lncRNA from 1 species